rnacentral:rRNA from 1 species
CCUACGGGUGGCAGCAGUGAGGAAUAUUGGUCAAUGGGCGGAAGCCUGAACCAGCCAAGUAGCGUGCAGGAUGACGGCCCUACGGGUUGUAAACUGCUUUUAUACGGGAAUAACGCGCCUUACGUGUAGGGCUUUGCAUGUACCGUAUGAAUAAGGACCGGCUAAUUCCGUGCCAGCAGCCGAUGUAAUACGGAAGGUCCGGGCGUUAUCCGGUUUUAUUGGGGUUAAGGGGAGCGUAUGCCGCAUGUCAAGCGUGCUGUCAAAUGUCCGGGCCCAACCCGGGCCUUGCAGCGCGAGCUGGCGUGCCUGAGUGCGCGGAAAGCAGGCGGAAUUCGUCGUGUAGCGGGGAAAGGCUUAGAUAUGACGAAGAACCCCGAGUGCGAAGGCAGCUUGCUGGAGCGGAACUGACGCUGAUGCUCGAAAGCGCGGGUAUCGAACAGGAUUAGAUACCCCUGGUAGUC